UGGACGCCAGUCUGCAUGGAGCCGACCUUGAAAUACCACCCUUUAAUGUUUGAUGUUCUAACGUUGACCCGUAAUCCGGGUUGCGGACAGUGUCUGGUGGGUAGUUUGACUGGGGCGGUCUCCUCCUAAAGAGUAACGGAGGAGCACGAAGGUUGGCUAAUCCUGGUCGGACAUCAGGAGGUUAGUGCAAUGGCAUAAGCCAGCUUGACUGCGAGCGUGACGGCGCGAGCAGGUGCGAAAGCAGGUCAUAGUGAUCCGGUGGUUCUGAAUGGAAGGGCCAUCGCUCAACGGAUAAAAGGUACUCCGGGGAUAACAGGCUGAUACCGCCCAAGAGUUCAUAUCGACGGCGGUGUUUGGCACCUCGAUGUCGGCUCAUCACAUCCUGGGGCUGAAGUAGGUCCCAAGGGUAUGGCUGUUCGCCAUUUAAAGUGGUACGCGAGCUGGGUUUAGAACGUCGUGAGACAGUUCGGUCCCUAUCUGCCGUGGGCGCUGGAGAACUGAGGGGGGCUGCUCCUAGUACGAGAGGACCGGAGUGGACGCAUCACUGGUGUUCGGGUUGUCAUGCCAAUGGCACUGCCCGGUAGCUAAAUGCGGAAGAGAUAAGUGCUGAAAGCAUCUAAGCACGAAACUUGCC
rnacentral:rRNA from 1 species